GGGCUGGGGCUCAGUGGUAGAGUGCUUGCCUAGCACGUGUGAGGCACUGGGUUCGAUCCUCAGCACCACA
rnacentral:tRNA from 1 species